rnacentral:rRNA from 1 species
AGAAUUUCCAGAGAUGGAUUGGUGCCUUCGGGGAACUCUGAGACAGGUGCUGCAUGGCUGUCGUCAGCUCGUGUUGUGAAAUGUUGGGUUAAGUCCCGCAACGAGCGCAACCCUUAUCCUUUGUUGCCAGCGGUCCGGCCGGGAACUCAAAGGAGACUGCCAGUGAUAAACUGGAGGAAGGUGGGGAUGACGUCAAGUCAUCAUGGCCCUUACGAGUAGGGCUACACACGUGCUACAAUGGCGCAUACAAAGAGAAGCGACCUCGCGAGAGCAAGCGGACCUCAUAAAGUGCGUCGUAGUCCGGAUUGGAGUCUGCAACUCGACUCCAUGAAGUCGGAAUCGCUAGUAAUCGUGGAUCAGAAUGCCACGGUGAAUACGUUCCCGGGCCUUGUACACACCGCCCGUCACACCAUGGGAGUGGGUUGCAAAAGAAGUAGGUAGCUUAACCUUCGGGAGGGCGCUUACCACUUUGUGAUUCAUGACUGGGGUGAAGUCGUAACAAGGUAGGCGUAGAUGA